AACCCUUCUUCUAUGCCCCCCUCACGAAUGUACCAGUGAACAAAGGCAUGGUUGGCAUACACCAGGUCAAAACUUGUGGUCCAGGUGAGCCCAGGUCUCAGCAAAGGCUGUGGUAUUGCUCAGCAUGCACACAGCUCUCUGUAUCUUGGCCAGGUCUCCACCAGGUACCACCAUGGGAAGCUCGUAACUAAUGCCAACCUUGAAACCAGUGGGACACCAAUCCACACACUGGAUAUUGUGCUUGGUCUUUAUGGUGGUAAAGCAGCAUUGACAUCUUUAUGGUGUCACCACAGUGCAACAGGCAGGAAGCCAUCAUUUGCCAUGGCGAAGGUCACAUUUCAUCAUCUGGUUGGCUGGCUCAAAUCAAGCAUUGAUGAUCUCUGCUCUAAAGCUCUUCAUGAUAGGCUUUCUCAGCAGAGAUAACAGGGAUCAGCAUUCAGG
rnacentral:lncRNA from 1 species